rnacentral:rRNA from 1 species
UUCCCAGACUCCUACGGGAGGCAGCAGUGGGGAAUAUUGCGCAAUGGGCGAAAGCCUGACGCAGCGACGCCGCGUGAGGGAUGAAUGUCUUCGGAUCGUAAACCUCUGUCAGCAGGGAAGAACGGUCACUGUGCUAAUCAGCAGUGAAUUGACGGUACCUGCAAAGGAAGCUCCGGCUAACUACGUGCCAGCAGCCGCGGUAAUACGUAGGGAGCGAGCGUUGUCCGGAAUUACUGGGUGUAAAGGGAGCGUAGGCGGGGAUGCAAGUUGGGUGUCAAAACUACCGGCUCAACUGGUAGUCGCACUCAAAACUGCAGCUCUUGAGUGAAGUAGAGGCAGGCGGAAUUCCUAGUGUAGCGGUGAAAUGCGUAGAUAUUAGGAGGAACACCAGUGGCGAAGGCGGCCUGCUGGGCUUUUACUGACGCUGAGGCUCGAAAGUGUGGGGAGCAAACAGGAUGAGAUACCCCGGUAC